UGAGGUAUCCACCAGCCUGAAGGAGACCAUGCCAAACAUGUUUAGAAGCACUUUGCCAUCUCCAAAAAUCUCCCAAGAUCAAAGUCAUCCCUUGCGGUCACUGGCCUUCCUUCCAUACCAACGCCACCUAAGAAGUGCAGAAGCAAAACAGUGUGCUUGAGAAAGGCAGUGAGGUGCAUAGGUGGCAAGGGUCAUGUCAUUUGUCCUGUUGUGGA
rnacentral:lncRNA from 1 species